GCUCGGAUGGUGGAAUAGGUAGACACUAGGGACUUAAAAUCCCUUGCUGGUAACAGCGUGUGGGUUCGAGUCCCACUCCGAGCA
rnacentral:tRNA from 1 species